rnacentral:tRNA from 1 species
AGCCCAGUGGUUAAGACGCCAAGCUGACAACCGGAAAGUCACAAGAUCGA